rnacentral:siRNA from 1 species
UGCAAACUGUAACAAAAUCAACAA